rnacentral:rRNA from 1 species
AGUGAACGCUGGCGGUAGGCCUAACACAUGCAAGUCGAACGGCAGCACAGUAAGAGCUUGCUCUUACGGGUGGCGAGUGGCGGGCGGGUGAGGAAUACAUCGGAAUCUACUUUUUCGUGGGGGAUAACGUAGGGAAACUUACGCUAAUACCGCAUACGACCUACGGGUGAGAGCAGGGGAUCUUCGGACCUUGCGCGAUUGAAUGAGCCGAUGUCGGAUUAGCUAGUUGGCGGGGUAAAGGCCCACCAAGGCGACGAUCCGUAGCUGGUCUGAGAGGAUGAUCAGCCACACGGGAACUGAGACACGGUCCAGACUCCUACGGGAGGGAGCAGUGGGGAAUAUUGGACAAUGGGCGCAAGUCUGAUCCAGCCAUACCGCGUGGGUGAAGAAGGCCUUCGGGUUGUAAAGCCCUUUUGUUGGGAAAGAAAAGCAGCAGGUUAAUACCCCGCUGUUCUGACGGUACCCAAAGAAUAAGCACCGGCUAACUUCGUG